UAGAUUCUCCUGAUUUGUUUGUCCUCUGCCUCUGUUCUUUGCAGUCAUGUCAGACGUCGAAGAAGAGUACGAGGAGCAGGAGGCUGAAGAGGAGGUGGAGCCUGAGGAAGAGGAGGAUGAAGAGCAGCGGGUGGAGGUAGAGGAAGAUGAAGGUAGGUCAGGGAAAUAC